UGCGCGACUGCACUCCAGCCUGGGCAACAAAGUAAGAGUCUGUCUCCAAAAAAAAACACUUUUGUAUUAAAGACACGGCAUUACAAUUUUACAGUUAAAGAAUUUUUUGCUGUGCUUAAACAUCUUCUUGGCCUGGAUUUUGCUGCCAAGCCUUGUAGUCUUUGUAGUCUGUAUAUACAGAGUAAUUAUUUAAACAGGGGCCCCAUAUAUGUGACACACUUCUACAAUGACUCUAAUAUAUUUUUGAUUAUGUCAGUUUUAAUUUGUUUAGCUAUUCUUUUCAGAAAAUGGCAGUAUAUGCCUGUUGAUGAUGUUACUGUAUUUCAGAGGUACUACAUAUCUUUAAAGAUGGUAGUUUUGGUCUAGCAAAUCUAUGUCCUUUCAAAAAGCAAUAAAUGUGAAUCUCUGAUGUGUAACAACUUUGUGAUAAUAAUAAAGAAAGUUUAUUCUGUAUGAAAUAGCAUUGUAUCUUAAUGUUCUCUAGAGACAAUCUUUAAGGUUUUACUACUAUUGACCAAUAAUUACUUACAGUUCAGCUGUGAGAGCUCACAAAAAAUGACUUUAUUACAUGGCCAGUUUCUAUUUCUGUUAAUUAACAUUGUUUUAAUUCUAGAGAUAUUUUCAAUUUUCAUCUUCUACCAAGAACUUAAUGCACUAAUGAUAAACUUAAGCAGUUUAGGAUCAUUCAUUUAUUAGAGCAUACAGUCUGGGGCCGGAUGGAAAGAGAGCUCCAUGAAUGUAUGAAUGCAGUGCACUCUUACCAGAGUCCUGCAAUAGUGAUAUAUACGAGAAGGAUGGUAAAGGUGAUUAAUUUUAAGUGGGAGAGGAUAGUAGGGUGAGAGGAUGCAUAUUAGAGGCAUGGCUUUAUCAUGGAAGAAUUCUACUAAUACUUCAAAGACACAUGGGACUUUUCCAGGCAGACAUGGUCAGGGAAGAGUUUUCUAGGGGUAAGAAGUGGUCAUGGAGGCAUAAAAGUGUGAUAUAGUCAAUAAAUAAAAGGAGUUCAGUACUACUGGAUGAUAUAAAAGGAAGAGUAGUGACAGAUAAAGAUCAAGAAAUAGGUCAAAACCAGAUAAUGUAGUCAAGCAGAAAGAAAAUCAGCAUAAAUAUGGUUUUCUAAUGCUAUUGAUGAUUUUAUGGCAGCCAGUGUCUAAGGUAACAAUUCCUUCUGCUUUUGUGUGUUUUUUACUUUUUCACUAGUGGAACAGUUACAGUUUGAAUUUCUUUUCAUUUUCUAGCAAAGCCUUUCCAAAAUGUUUAUUGAUCAUUAUUUUCAUAAAGUCUUUAUGAUAAUUAGUUAAGCAAUAAUUGCCAGUCUAAUAGCACUAAUAGCCAGUGUUACUUAAUGAGACUAAAAAGGUCUCUAAAUAUUUGGUAAUAUUUAUACAUAUGUAUCAUUUUUUAAAGUGCAACUGAGAUUUUCAUAUUUCUUAUGAUAGACUCAUGAUAGACUUCAUUCUUGCACAACAAUCCUUUAAACUUUACCUAUGAGGUACUUUUAUACAGUUAUUGUCUUUACACAUUAUUACAGUUUUACAUGUUAUUGAUGAAUAAAAGACUUUUGUCCUAGUCUUAUAAUACAUUGGCUUCAUGGCAACAACAACAACAACAAAAAUACCAAAAGAAAGCAUUACCACCAUCUUCUCUGUUUUGUCAAAUUUAGAUGCCAGUCUGGACAGGUGGGUCAUAUCACAGUGCCGGAGAAGAACCAGAACUCAUCAGGGCAUGGACAAACUGCAGUAUUCCCUAAAAACAACCAAACUUGAAGUUUGCUUCUAUCUUUAUCAACUCCUCACCUAUGCUGGAAUAGGGAUUUUUUUUUUUCUGUAUUAAAACCCUGUGAUGUUGCAGUUAGUAAUGAUUGUGCACUGCUCUACUCACAUUAUUGUUCACCACACCUAUUACAUAAUGUACUAGUUUUAUUGUAGUCUUUGUUUAAAUAUGAAAACAACUGUAGAUUCAGAUGCUGUUUGGGGAUUUCAAAGAGCAAAGAAAAAAAGGAUAUAAAGCUGAAAUUGGUCUUUAAACAUGUUUGACAUAGGAAUUGAAGUGCUUUUCAUUCAUUCUUUUCAUAGACUAAACAUAGGCCUUUUGAUAUUAAAUUUUUAAUAACUAUAAUGAAAUUAAAAUUAAACUAUGGGUCACAAAUCUAUCCAUUUUCUUCUAACUGCUGUUUCUCUCAAACACUAGAAUACUGCCUAUUUAAAUCUUAACUUUUGCUUGCCAAACCACUGUUACCGUCCAUCUGUUCAUGCCAAUUGUAAAGAAGGUUCAGUUUUUAGUGAAGCUUUGCAUUUCACAUAAGGUAUGUGAAGUGAAAUUUCACAAGGGACAUGAUGGAUCCUGAUUCUUAGUGAUAAACCUUUGGGGCCAUCAGGGUUGGCAUAUGGUCCACUAUGAUAUGAAGGCUUGGGUUCCCUGGCUUCACUUCUUUGGCGUGAAGCUGAUAAAACCUGGCUCUUGAGUAUUAUUUCACUGGACACCAAUCAUGGGCAGCAGGAACUGCCCAUUUAACUCUCUGUGGGAAGGAAGCCCAGACAGCAUUCACAAUGGUACCAUUGUCGAGUUGCAAACUGCUCUGAACAGCUUGACAGCACUAGGGAGGAGGGGAAGGGGUUGCUUUACUAAUUGCUGUUCAGAAGAGAAGCAGCAAAAAUAGCUGUUGCAGAACUGAUGUUUCUACAUUUACUUACUCUCUUGAUAAGAAUGUUGACUUUUAUUUAGCACAUAGCUGCUAUCAAAAAAAAAAGCAAAUGAAUAUAUUUAAGCAGCCACCUGUAGUAAUUCCUUGUUAACAUGCCAUUAUCUAUUUUUAGCCCAUCAUAUUAUUGCAGAGCAAAAGUCAAUUUUGUCUUAAUGAUUUUUUUAUUAGAUGAAAAUAAGGAAUUUUUUAUUUUCAUAAGAAUUUAACUGAGGUGAAGUGGAUAAAAUUAUCACAAUUCAUAUGUCAGAUAAGGUUAUAAAUUUGGUUUAAUUUACACUUUGCUUUUUAGGAUUCCUGAAUGCCAUCUGAAUACAUAUAAACGAUAUUAGUAUAGAAAUGCAAACUAACUUUCUACAUAGCACAAGUGCUAAAAUAAUCCACUAAAGAUAAACUAGUCAGCACAUCUUAAAGUUAAAUGCCAGAUUUAUUAUUUGAGUAGCUCAUAACUAUUUCAGUCAUGUAUGAUUAUCUCACUCAUUGAAUUCCCUCUGGUUGGAUUUUUUUUUUAAUGUGAGGGUUGUUUCCUUUUUUAUAAAAUAUUGUAUGCCCUGAUAUUUAUAUAAACACUCCUCUUGACCUGUUUUCUUCUAGUCAGCUUUGUCAGCCAGCAGUUGGGUAGUUCUGUUGCAAAAAAACAAUGAUCUACAACCUGAAAAAAAAAUUAGUGCUUAUUUUCGGACUCCAGGGAUUCUGACCCCAUAGAUGAUUCUUUUUUUCUUUCGGCUGAAAUGAAAUUGACUAAAUUAUAUUGCAGUAACAAUGAUUUAUGUAGCAUCUUCUUAAAUAGGAUAAGGAAGAGAUAUUUUAAGAAAACUUUUAAAACAGUAAAGUUUUGUAACAGGAUGCUCUUGCUAGAUUUGGGGAAGUUCAAGUGCAUGUUUUGUAAAAUUAGAAAAUCUGUAACAUUUACUAGUAUUUCGUAUCUUGUGUUCUCUUAAGUAAUUUUAGUAAAUGGGCACACCAGUGCAGUAUUUCAAAAACAGUAAUUCAUUGAAUGCCCAUUCUUCCUUUUACUGCAGAAUAGAUUAUAUUUAAGUCAAGAUUAAUGGAUAGAUUUUGAUGUUAAAGUCCAGUGUCUAAGCCUGUCAUUCCCUGGGGGCAUAUAGUGCAUUAGUUUAAGCCAAUGUACUGCUUAUCAUAGAUUCUAUGACACUGUCUUAAAUGACAGUUCACUGUACUUUGUUUCUACUUACUAUAAUAAUGAAAUCACUUUUUUUGUAUUCCCAAUAAUUAUAGCACUUAAACAAAAAUCUUAAUUAAAUUAGUGCACAUUUAGUUAGAGAUAACACUUAAGUAAUUGUACACUGUAAAAUUUCACUUAUUUGGUUUUUGUUUUGUUUGGUUUAUUUUUGGGUUUUUUUUUGUUUUGUUUUUUUCCUUUUUGCAGUCUUCUGACAGGGUCCAAGUUUAGUAUUUUGCUCAAAUACUUUUGUUUCUUCAACUUUAAUGUACUAAAAAUUAUGUUCUUAAAAAGAACAACACACAAGAUUGUUUCUAGUAUCCUCCCAAUGUUUUUUUAAACUCUUAAGCUAAUACUAGUGAUUUUCAAGCAGUUCUCUGUUGACUUUGAAAGUCUCAUUAUUACUAAAUUAAUGAUAAUGUUUUCAAGUAGAUCUUUCCAAGAAUGAGAGUACAUUAUGAUUUCACUAAAUUUGAAAUCCAGAUAACCUAGUGUUUCUGUUUUGCUUCAUAAAACUUUCAUGAAAGUAGAAUGUGUGUAUAUAUAUAUAUAUAUAUACACACACACACACAUACAGAUAUUGGAUAAUCAUAUUAGUGCAUUUUGAAACCCACCAAUGAUUAUUGGAUUAUUAAAUCAGGAAGGAUUUUCAGAGCCUUUAGGUAAGUUUAAAUUUUUAAGCCUAUUUAUUUAAGGUUAAUCUUUUUAAAUGUAUUUACACAAACUUUGGUGGAAUUGGGCUUAUCAACUUUUUACUUAAUGUUUUCAUUUAGUAAUUGACUGAUUUAUGAGCAAUUAUAUGUGUUCCAAAUUUUAUUCAACUCCAGCUUUCAAUUUCUGUAUCCUCACACUGCCUUAGCACCUGUUAUGGAUUUUGAGUCAUCUGGCAGCCCAUGGGACUUAGAUAAAGAAGUACCAGGUGUCCUGCCUGUCUCCUAAUUGAGACGCAGUGAAAACAAUAUAGACUUGGCAAUAUGGUUAAAAGGAUGGAUUAAAGCCCAGCUUUGUCUGCUCUGACAAAUCACAGCUUUUCCUUCAUGGUGUAGAUAGUAUCAACCACUGAAGAAUUUCAUGAAUAUAAGGCAUCAUAAAAAUAGACAAUAAUUUGUCAUAACCUGUUGCAGACUUUCAGAAGAAUUUUUAUUAACAUAGUGUAAAUAAGCAAUAUUAAUAACGAGAUUCAUGCUAUUUGUUUAGGGAAAUUUUAUUUUUUACUACAUAUAAACUAGACUGCAUGUUUCUGGAAGAAGUUAGUUACAGUAGGAAAGAUGGAAUAUCCUUCCCUCUGCCAGAUCCUAAUUUAUCAGAUUUUGCUUUAUAAGAGAGGGCCAGCAAAAUCAAAGGGCACAGUAGAACAAAAAUUUUUCUCACAAGGAAGAUUCAAACUCUAAAUCCAGUCCUAGGAAAGUUUCAACUACAUUUGCCCCAAAAAGGUUUGCCUUUAUGGAACCACAUUGGGAUUAGAGGAAAGGGGCGUCAGUGUGACAGACACCUCCUAAUCUACUAUCAAACCAACUUUAUUCACUCCUUCUAGAAGUUGUAAGCAAGUCAUUGAAUACUACUGUGCCCUGUGUUGGGUGCUGAAGACAUAAAGAUAAGAAGACAUGUUCUCUGUCCCCAUGGCACUGGUCUCAUCACUAGUCUGUAAACCACAAAAUGGACAAUUAAAAUUUCAAUAACGUAAGUAGAAUGCCUGGAUUACUAGUCUCUAAAGUGAAGUAGUAGCAUUGAAGGACCACCAAAUCUGCCCCCAAGAAUCAGGGACAAAACUGUUUCUUAAGAAAGUGUACUUAGUGGAAGAACAAGCCUAAGGAAAGAGGCUCUCUAAAGGGGGCCUGGGAGGUGGGUGAUUUGUAGCAAUCUUCAAGAUGUGUGAUAUGGAAACUUACUAUAGCCAGUUGCAGGCUACCAACCUUACAAACUUUAUAAGUAUUGAAUAAUUGACUCUGAUCUGCUCAACUUAAGUAGUACUUAGAUUUCAGCUACUUAAGUUACAUCUCAAUUACUACUUAAGUUGUACUCUCAAAAAAAAUUUUUUUAAAUCAGUAGGCAACAUUUCUAAGUAAUUAUUGGAAUGCUUCCUCCUCCUAUGAUUACUAUUCUUGGAAUCUUCUCUAGAGAAAGGAGAUAAAAUUCCUAAGUGCUAAAACUGCAAAGAAGCUAUAGAAAUGUAUGAGUGUAGGGAAGUGCUUACUAAAUUAAGAAUUUCAGAAUGGGCCUUAAAUCCCUGAGACUAGGCCAUUGAGCACAGAUAUAAACACUUUAUACUUGCCUUUAUUUUAAAAGGAGUCAAUUUUUUUUCUUGUUAAGGAAAAACAACAUGAAACCUGAACUUAGGAGGAAAAUAAGCAAUCAUGCAAAUCUUUGAUAUCUGCUUACAAAUUGUAAUUUUUAUAAUUUCUUUUUGUGAAAAUUAUACUUUGUAUUAAUUCUUGUGUGUAACAUGUGUAUACACAUAUAUACACACACACAUUUCCAUUUCUUUCGGACUAGUCACAAAUUACAUUUGAACUAAAUGUUUCUACAACCUACUGGUUGUCCCGUGGAAUUACAAAACUGAAAGCUUCCCCUUUUCUAACAGUACAAACAGUUCAGAAUUACCAGAUUAAUAAAAUUAUUGUGGAGAAUGAAAAGCAUUGCUUCUUUAAAACCAGAUCUACUUUUAUAUAUUCUUCUAUGUUAAUAAAGUUGAUAGUACAUAAUGUUCUGCAGUAUCUUUUCUCUUUUUCCCCAUGAGAAAUCAGUUUCUUUGCAUCAUAAUAAGUCAAAACCCUCUGUACAUGUAACAAGAAAUAUUAGUGGUAUUAUCUUUUUUUUAUUAGUGGUAUUAUCAAAGAGUUCUUGCACAUGAAUACAGGUAUAUUUCUUAAACUGACAUCAAAAAUUGUCCUCCUAGAGACAGCACCUGCUAUAUACAAAUAUAUGAGCCAAAGGCCAAAAUAAACUUUUCAAGACAGAUGUAGGGACACUUUUGAUUUACCCUGUAUUUGUAACCUUUAUCUUCAGCACCCUAUGAAGUGAGUAGGUGAUGGUAUCCCCAUUUAACAUACAGAUGUAUCCCCAUUUAACAUACAGAUAAAUUAUGGCACAGAAAAUUUAUGCUUAUCUUUCCUGGCUCAGUCUGAAAUUGAACCCAUUUUCUUAAUAGCUGGUCUUGAAGUUUAAAAUCAAGAGUAGUAACUUAAAAUAUGUAAUGAUGUUAACUUAAUGAAGUACAGAUUAGAUUUAAACUGUUCUUUAUGCUAUAGAUGUUUUGUUCCCUUGUUUUUAGAAUAAUAAUAUUCCUACCCCCCCCCACCCACCUCCGAACCCCGUUUUCCUUUUGUAGAAAGCGGAAGGAGGAUUAGUGGAUAAUUAUAUUGCUGUGAUUGCAUCACCUGUGUGUUAUUUUUUUUUUUUUGAUUGGCUAGUUCUGUAUUAAAGAUUCCUACUAGUUAAAAGUCUCCCUCAUCCAACAGUUUUUAUUAGAUAAUUUUGCCUUGAGUUGUUUUACAACCUAAAUCUGCUUACCUCAACUUAGUUUUGUACUUUAAAUUUUUGUUCUGAAUUUUUUUAUUAGUUUACCUUCACCUUUUUUAUCAUCCUUCCUAUUUCAGUUUUUUAAUUCCAAUGCCAAUGGCAACAUGCACUCACCAUAUAAAACUAUAGCUUGAGUUGUCCUCUUGUUGCCAGCUGUGGAGUUUGUGUGCCACUCAAUGUAUAUGUACUAAUAACUCUUCCCUAGAGAGAUGUCUUUUAUGGAAUAAGUGUCUAAGCUUUUAUAAGGAGAUACAGGAAUUAACUGCUUUGGAUGAUUACAAUUGCAGAUUCUAAAGCACUGUAUGGAACUUUAAUCAUCUCAAUCACAAAAAGCACCUCGUUGUGGACUCAAGGCUAUGGUUUAAGUGCUUAGAGUUUAUUAUAUUUCCUUCAUACAUGUUUUCUGAAGUAAAAAAAGAUGUAAGUCCUAUAGACUGGGUUGGCUUGUUUUCAUGUUGUUAUUUAUUUAUUUGGCUACAUCACACUGGGAAACUUACAAAGAUCAUUUAGAUUUUAGAAGGUGAGUUAGCUUAGAUAUGAUUAUUUUACCAAGCUAACAGUGUUUCCUGAAGGUGGCCCCCAAAAAGGAAACUUACCUAAUAAGUGAUGAGCACUGUAGUUUUUUCAUUUAAAUUCAACCAUUAAUGAUUGCUUCCCUUCACUCUGCCACCUAGACUUGAACUUUAAAAAUAAUUUAAGAAAGCAUUGUUUUCAUUAAUGAAGAUUUAAUGUAAAUUUAUUAAAUAUGUUUUUAUACAAAAUGAAUAUGUUAUAUCUGGAUAAUUUCAGUUUUGUGUAGCCGUGUAUUAGGGCUUUUUCUAUUUUAUAAGCCUCUUUUUGUAUAGAGAAGUAGAAUUAAUCUGCACAAUGUAUUUUAUCUAGAUAAUCAUUUUCUUACUUUGAUGAAUUUACUACAUUGGAAAUAUCUACCCUGCUUUAGAAAUAUUAACGUUUGCUUUCUUUCUGCCUAAUUUUUGUAUAAUCUCUAAAUAUAAUAAAGUAAAAUAUUUCAUUUAUAGGCCCUUUGAAAGUAGAACAUUUUUAAAAGCAGGUAGGUGUCUCCACACUACUUUUCAUGAAGCGUUUUACCCAUUCAAGCAGACUUUUAAAAACAGCUUGUUUUGAUAGCAGACUUUUCUCCUGUGGGCCUUCAGCCUUUGCUUCCUGGCAGCACCUUUGGUGCGAAAAGAGAGUGAUCAAUUGGAAGACUAUCAGUGCCAGCAUGCAUAGAGUGAUAAGUUAACACACCACUGGGAAUUUCUAGGGCCCACCAAGAUACUUCACUUCUAAUGUGCUAACAAGCUCAUUUUUCUACCUCUUGCCUCUUCAGUUAUUUUUUUUCUCAGAAGAGCUUAGAAGUUGAGUGCAUCAGGCAUAAUGAAAAGCUCUGUAGGAGGGAGAAGCAAUAACCCCAUUUUUCCCUUUUCAGCCAAAUAGAAAAUUAGUUUCUGGUAAUACACAAAGGCCAGUAUUUUUUGUACAAGGGGCACUGCUGUGAAUCAAAGGACUCUAUUAACUGCAGAAAAUUCGGCAGCUGUGAAUCUCCCCCAAUGAAAAAAGUACUUUCCAACAAGUUGUGAGAUAUGUGGUAUUAUUUAGAUUGUACCAUCAGUUUCAUCCUCUUCCAUUUAUAACCAUAUACUCCUUUUAAAAGUGUGCUAUAUUACUCGUCUAUGUUAAGACUCAAAAAUGUCCACAUUAUCCUCAUGUAAAAUCUUUGAUGCUGAUCAUUUUAAUAUGCAUCUUUUCCUGUUGCUUCCCACCUCAGAAGUAAAAUUUUUUUGAAGUUCAUCCCCAGUGUACAGAAUGGAAAGUAAUAGAUUGCCAGGAAUUGGAAUUUAAGGUUAUUUUAAUAUUUGAUACAUAAGAUAAAUCAUAAUAUGAAAGCCACUUAGAGAGCAAAAGAUACCACAAUCAAAGUCAAGUGCGUAAUGAAUAUAGUCUAACCUUUAACUCCUACUUUUUUUUUUUCCUCUUCUUAGUAAACUCUUGUAAAUGUAACUAACUGGUCAUGGUAUCUCCCGUUGAAUUAUCAUUUAAAAUUAUCUUCCUCUCAAAUUAUUUUUUGGGGUCUUGUUGGCUUAGUCUACAAUUUCUAGAAUUUUACAACUAUAUAAUAAUUGACUGCAAUUUUUAAAAAAUAAGGAAUUUUGAGGGGAAAUAUUAAAGUGGACUUUGGAGGGAAAUUCAGUGGGCAAAAAAAGAAGAAUCAGUAGACAAAUGUUUAUUAUCCUUAUUUAAAUAUCUUAUGUAAAGCCUGUCAGCAUAGCACACUGAGUACCACAGGGAAACUUUUAAAAGUUUUAAAGGAAAGGUUAACUGAUUUCUCAGUUCAGGAACUAUACGACAUGAAGUCAGCAUGUGAGUUUUUCCUGAUAAUUGUAUGUUGCUGCCUGCUGCUCUACAUUUUGACAGCCAUUUCCAUAGUUGCUUUCGUGAACAACAGAAAUAUUCUCUCUCUUUCUCGCCCUCUCUGUGCUAACAGCACAAUCAGGCCUGCUAAAACAGGAAGCCUGGAGUGGGUUGUUCAAAAGCAACAACACUUCAAGGUAGUGGUUGCUUGUCAAUAAUAUCAGAGAAGAAAAUGUGGUGAAAGGGAACUUCAGUAUUUUUCUGUCAGUGUCAGUGCCCUGGAGAUGCUUUGUUAGACAGCAUUUAGGAGUCCUGUAGACUCUUUGCAAAUAUUCCUGCUUGUUUCAGUGUUAUAAUUGACUAGGUAUUUUUUCCCGGCAUACAGAUUCAGCUAUGUAUUUUUCUUAGCCGCAUGGAGUUAUUCGAGGAUUACAGCAACAGUAGCCUUCCAUUCAAAAUGAGAACAAUUGUUGAGAAAAUGCAGGGAUUUUAUAAAAAGAAGAUACGUAGGAAUUUUUCAUAAUAAAUCGUUACAAAUGAAAAACAAUUUUGGACAUAGUAUCUUAAGCAACAUUACAAUAUUUAUUGCAUGGCUUUUGAGAGUAAAUCUGCAGAUGGAACCUGAUUAACAAGAUAAGAUGAGCCUAGGCUGAUAGAAAUUUCAGCCUAGACUCCUGAUAGAAAUUGAAUCCUUUCUCAAAUAAACCAUCAACUUCAUUCAUUUCAUUAGUAUUACUGUAAUUAUUAUCUAAUAAAUGUCUCCCU